GCCAAGGGGGAAAGAGCAAGUAGAGGCCUGAGUAGUUCCUGAUAUUGGAUCCUCAUGAAAUGAGAUGCGUAACAUGUGAAGCUAUCGUGAGACAAAUGGAAAAAAAGAGGAAAAUAGAAACGAAAAAGAACCCCAAACUUUUGAAAUGCGUGAGCAAUCACUGUGAUUACUAUAUUUACCUGAAUCAAAGAUGACUUCAAAUUUAAGACAAUGCCACCAAUAAUUAGAAGUGUGUUACAGGUUUUGUUACCUCUCCCCUACCCCUCAGCAUCCCCCUC